AGCUAAGAAAGGACUGAGGAGAAUUUGGG
rnacentral:piRNA from 1 species